AGAACAGCUGAGGUAGCGUUCAGUUUCAGCCCCAGUGCCAUUAUGAUGGAUGUUUACAUCUCUUCAUUGAGAGCCAAUUAUCUCGCUUUUGUGUGAGGCCCAAGGAUCACUCAUGCUGCCUGGCUGCACAGAGCACUGUUGGAUCUAGCUGAACGAAUUGUUUUCUGUCUCUGAUGACAUGAGGUCUGUGUUGGUAAAGCAGGUGCGGGUGAGGAUUAGGAAAAGUUGGUGGACCAACCUAGACUGCUGGUCAGAUUGAAGCAGAGUACACUCAAGAAGAGCUAGAUAUGAAUAUGGGGAAGAAGCUGAACCAACUGAAGCAGUAGUCUUGGUCUGCUCAACAAGCCUGAUGAAAGAAAAGGUUUUAAUAGGGAUCGAACUUGGGUCCUUGCGCUUGCGCAGCAGGUGGCGAAACCACUGAGCUAAAUCCCCGGCCCCAAAGCAUAAUCUUUUGAAGUCACUGUAGAAUGAAAAGAAGUAAUCUUUUCAAAUGAUUUUAACA
rnacentral:lncRNA from 1 species